rfam:Gorilla gorilla gorilla genomic chromosome, chr1, whole genome shotgun sequence
GCCGGGCGUGGUGGCGCGUGCCUGUAAUCCCAGCUACUCGGGAGGCUGAGGCAGGAGAAUCAUUUGAACCAGGGAGUUGGUGGUUGCAGUGAGCCGAGCAUGCCACUGCACUCCAGCCUGGUGACAGAGUGAGACUCUGUCUCAA